AUGGGUGCUAUGCAAGCUCGAGUCAUGGCGCAAAAAGGCGCAGCCCUCGCAGACGCACACAUACCUUUAUAUACACUAUUCAUGGUUCUGUACAUACGCUCAGGUGAUCAGAUCUCUAGGAGGCAUGCAGCCUGCACGUGCCCAGAGAACUCCGGCGGUGCGGGGGCGCGUGCCCAGGACGCGGCCUUGCCGGCCUCGUCGCGCAGCAUGUACACGGUCUGGUCGCCUCCGUGGCAGCCUGAGCCGAUCACCACGACGCGUCCGCCGGGGAUGGCGGAGACUGUCGAGGCGGUACGGGCGUCCUCCGGCACGGACGCCACCGUGCGCCAGCCCGCCGAGGCACCGGCGUCGCGAGCCACGAGGUUCCCGUCGCGAAGCAUGUACAUGCGCUCCGCUCCCGGCGCCACGCAGCAGGUUCUCGGGCACGUUCCGUCCUCUAGCAGGCUCUCCUGGACGGUGGCCCAGGCCGCCGUCGCCGGGUCGAAGGCCUCGGCGGAGCCAGCGAACCGCCCCUGCGCCUGCGUCGGGUACCCGCCGACGACCAGGAACCUGCCGCCGACGCAGAGCCCGCGCGGCUCGUCGCGCUCCUCUGCCAUGUCCGGGAGCGCGGCCCACGCGUCGGCGUCCGGGUCGUAUGCCAGCGCCGACCGGAGCGCGUUCUUCUCCUCGUCGUGCCCGCCGGCGACGUACACGACCCCGCGGACGGCCGCGGUGGCGAAGAAGGACCGGCGCGGGCCCGGCAUGGGCGCCCCGCGCCGCCACGCGCCUGUCAAGAAGUCGUACACGUACACCGAGUCGGUCGGCGCCCACGACUCCGGGUCCCACCCGCCGACGACCACCAGCCGCUUCCUCCCCUGCGCGCCGUCCACCGCAGCCACCUGGCAGAACAGGGGCAGGCUCCCGGUCGUGCCGGGCAGCACCGGGAGCGGAGCCCACCGCCCCUCCACGGGGUCCAGCAGAACCAUCCUGUAG
rnacentral:rRNA from 1 species